rnacentral:tRNA from 1 species
CCCGAGGUGGACGGCGGCAGGAUCGGCGCGGUCGGGAUCUGCCUCGGCGCGGGCUACGCGCUGAAGUUCGCCGCGUUCGACCCCCGGGUGCGGGUC